AUUGAACGCUGGCGGCAGGCUUAACACACGCAAGUCGAGCGGGGUGAUGGUGCUUGCACUAUCACUUAGCGGCGGACGGGUGAGUAAUGCUUAGGAAUCUGCCUAUUAGUGGGGGACAACAUCUCGAAAGGGAUGCUAAUACCGAAUACGUCCUACGGGAGAAAGCAGGGGAUCACUUGUGACCUUGCGCUAAUAGAUGAGCCUAAGUCGGAUUAGCUAGUUGGUGGGGUAAAGGCCUACCAAGGCGACGAUCUGUAGCGGGUCGGAGAGGAUGAUCCGCCACACUGGGGCUGAGACACGGCCCAGACUCCUCCGGGAGGCAGCAGGGGGGAAUAUUGGCCAAUGGGGGGAACCCUGAUCCAGCCAUGCCGCGUGUGUGAAGAAGGCCUUAUGGUUGUAAAGCACUUUAAGCGAGGAGGAGGCUCUUUUGGUUAAUACCCAAGAUGAGUGGACGUUACUCGCAGAAUAAGCACCGGCUAACUCUGUGCCAGCCGCCGCAGUAA
rnacentral:rRNA from 1 species